AUUGAACGCUGGCGGCAGGCCUAACACAUGCAAGUCGAACGAGUGGCGGACGGGUGUGUAAUGUCGGGGAAAGUGCGUGGUGGAGGGGGAUAAAUAGUGGAAACGGUCGCUAAUACCGCAAACUAUCGGAUGUGCCGAGAGGGGAUUCGCUAGGAGGUGGGGUAACGGCUCACCUAGGCGACGAUCCCUAGCUGGUCUGAGAGGAUUAACAGCCACACUGGAACUGAGACACGGUCCAGACUCCUACGGGAGGCAGCAGUGGGGAAUAUUGCACAAUGGGCGCAAGCCUGAUGCAGCCAUGCCGCGUGUAUGAAGAAGGCCUUCGGGUUGUAAAGUACUUUCAGCGGGGAGGCGUUACCCGCAGAAGAAGCACCGGCUAACUCCGUGCCAGCAGCCGCGGUAAUAC
rnacentral:rRNA from 1 species